UACAGAGGUCUCAAGCGUUGUUCGGAUUCAUUGGGCGUAAAGGGUGCGUAGGUGGCGCCGUAAGUCAGAUGUGAAAUUUCGGAGCUUAACUCCGAAACUGCAUUUGAUACUGCGGUGCUUGAGGACUGGAGAGGAGACUGGAAUUUACGGUGUAGCGGUGAAAUGCGUAGAUAUCGUAAGGAAGACCAGUGGCGAAGGCGGGUCUCUGGACAGUUCCUGACGCUGAGGCACGAAGGUCAGGGGAGCAAACGGG
rnacentral:rRNA from 1 species